GGAAGGUUAAUUUUUUAAUUAAAAAGUUAAAAUAGAUUAAAAAGACGAGAAGACCCUAUAGAGUUUAAUAUUAAAUAUAGUUUAAAUUAUUUAUAAAAUUAUUAACUAAAAAUUUUAUUUAAUAUUUUAUUGGGGUGAUAAAAAAAUAAAAUGAACUUUUUUUGAAAAUAACCAUAAAUAAGUGAUAUAAUGAUCCAAUUUUAUUGAUUAAAAGAAAAAAUUACCUUAGGGAUAACAGCGUAAUUUUUUUUUUUAUUUCUUAUAAAAAAAAAAGUUUGCGACCUCGAUGUUGGAUCGGGAAAAAA
rnacentral:rRNA from 1 species